CCGCCUGGCAUCCCUAGCCAACCUGGCCCCAGUGGACCGCCUGGCAUCCCAGGCCGACCUGGCAUCAGAGGAACCACCUGGCAUGACUGGCAUCCCUGGCAGUGAUGGACCUCCUGGCCCCUCUGGACCGCCUGGCAUGAGAGGACCACCUGGCAUGACCGGCUCACCUGGCAUGACUGGCUUCCCUGGGCCCUCUGGCCGCUCAGGAUCGCCGGGCAUGACUGGGAUCACCUGGCCAUGAUGGUCCUCCUGGUCCCCCAGGAAUCUGCACCCAUUCUGAAGGAGAUAAAUAUGGACUGACAUUCAUUGCCAUGGCAGGGUGUGUUCUUGCUGUCCUGGAUGCUGCUGCCUUGAUUGCUGUUGUUAGUUUCCUGAUGAGGAAUGAGAGAAACACAGCAGUGAGAGGCUCAGGAGUGCAUUCCCAGAGGCCUGAUAUGGACCCUCCUGAUGAUACAUACACAGCUCUGAAUCUCAGAACAAGAUCACCUGAUUAUGACAGUCUUGAUCAUUUCAGGUAUCCACCAAGUGUACCUGGUCGAAGCCAUCGAUGAAUACUGAAGCCUCUGCAAACUCCAGC